AUUGAACGCUGGCGGCAGGCCUAACACAUGCAAGUCGAGCGUGAAAGUUCUUCGGAAUGAGUCAAGCGGCGGACGGGUGAGUAACGCGUCGGAAUCUGCCCUGAAGUGGGGGAUAACUUUGGGAAACUCAAGCUAAUACCGCAUAGACCUAAGGGUGAAAGAUGUGGAUCUUCGUACCUAUCGCUUAAGGAGGAGCCUGCGUCGCGAUUAGCUAGUUGGUAGGGUAAAGGCCUACCAAGGCGACGCUCCGUAGCUGGUCUGAGAGUUUGGUCCCCCACAGGGGCACUGAGAUACGGGCCCGAUUCCUACGGGAGGCAGCAGUAGGGAAUAUUGGGCAAUGGAUGCAAGUCUGACCCAGCCAUGCAGCGUGCCGGAUGAAGGCCCUCAGGGUUGUAAACGGCUUUUAUUCGGGAAGAAGAGCAGGGAUUCGUCCUUGUGUGACGGUACCGAAUGAAUAAGCACCGGCUAACUCCGUGCCAGCCGCCGCCGUAAAAC
rnacentral:rRNA from 1 species